rnacentral:tRNA from 1 species
AUUGAUUUGGCAGAAACAAAGCACCUGACUUAGGAUCAGUUUAUAGUCCUAAGGGGCUAAUCGGAA